UACGUAGGGUGCGAGCGUUUAAUCGGAAUUACUGGGCGUAAAGCGUGCGCAGGCGGUUUUGUAAGCCAGAUGUGAAAUCCCCGGGCUUAACCUGGGAAUGGCAUUUGGGACUGCAAGGCUGGAGUUUGGCAGAGGAGACUGGAAUUCCCGGUGUAGCAGUGAAAUGCGUAGAUAUCGGGAGGAAUACCGAUGGCGAAGGCAGGUCUCUGGGCUAUAACUGACGCUCAUGCACGAAAGCGUGGGGAGCAAACAGG
rnacentral:rRNA from 1 species